UUUCUCAGCUUCUCUUCUUGGAUCCAUGACUCAAGCCCUGAAUAAUUUUUCACUCUUCAGAAACCAGUCAGAAAUAUGCCUCUGCCUACUCUGCCCAAUUAUGUCAAGAAAUGAAGAAAGAAAAAGAAGGGGGAUAGUGGUGGAGGAAUUUUAAAUAUAAGCAUUGUGAAGGUUACUUCUAAAGGAGUAAUUUGGCUGAAUACCGCAAAUCAAUUAUCCUGGAGUGGCUGCUGGAACCUUCAAAGAUAUACAAGAUGUUCUAUUUUUCAAGUUUUCUGUGGAAUCAAGAGAAUUAAAGCUUAAUUCUCUGGAUACCUGAAAAAAGAAGACACAGAAAGCUUCAAAUCUAAUAAUGUCUAGUACAAAUUAAGUCUUGUGUAAGUGUUUAAAUGGACCAGUGUGGUUUUUUGUGUUAUGUGUUUCAGCUAAUUUAUUUUUUUAAAUCACAGUAUAUAUUUGUCUGUCUACUAAGAGUAGAUAAGUGUAUGAGACUCUGGGCAUACAAAGAUUCCAUUCUUACCUGGAAGAGUUUACCUUCCAAAGGCAUGGCGGGUGUGGCAGAUUCCCAACCAAAACUCACAAAAGAACUCAACAGCCCAGAGAGAGAGGUAAACAGUGUGCUCCACUUCCUUAAGGAAGUGAAUGUCUAAAGAAGUGCUAUAGAUGUUUUAUUUAUAAAACAUGAAGAUAAAUAAAACGUUUUCAGAGAAAGGCAAAAAAAUCAAAUAGAGUGAACUAAGUACUGAAUAUAUAGAACAAUGGUGAAAACUUAUGCAACAUAUAUUCUUAGAUCUCCUAUCACGUGGAGAGUAUCAUGAGUAAAAGAUUUUAAGCUUGAGAGUUACAUGUUUAUAUUUAUAUUAAAAAAAUCACUUUGGCAAAAGUCUACAGGAUAAUAAACCUGGAUAUAUCCUUCCAGACAUGCAUGUAACCUUUCAUUCAUUAAUUUACCCUUUUAUAUAUGUAUGCAAAGCAUAUGCUUUUAAUACCUUUCAUGUGUAGAUCAGUGUAAAACGUGAUGAAAAUACAAUAGAAAAACAAAAUAAGCAUUAAUUCUUUCCCUAUAGACACUUCUUUUUUUUCUCUUUCUCUUCCUUUCUUUCACUCAGCUUGAGAAAUGUCAGAGACUGAGAGUGAGCAAACAGAUAAUAAAUAAAAUAAUCUAAUAGAUGAAUAUAGUGAAUUGUAGAAAAAAUAUGAUGGUUUGCAUUAGAUAUGUAGGAGUAGCAUUGGAGAAUCAUGGAUAUAUUGGUUAUGUACUUUGGAGAUAGAGUUUUUGUGGGAACAUGGAGACAGACUGGAAGUAAGAAGCCAGACAUAAUCAACUACAUAUUGUAUAAUUCAGUUCAUAUAAAAUGUCUAGAAUAGAAAAACUGUAGAGACAGAAAGGAGAUUAGUGAUUUUCAGUGGCUGUGGGAAGGGGGAAAUAGAGUUUGACUGCUAAUGGAUAUGGCAUUUUGGGGAUAAUUCAUAAAAUGUUCAAAACUUAGAUGAUGAUUAUGAAUACUCAACUCUGAUUAUAUGAAAAACCAUGGCAUUGUACACUUUUAAAAGGUGAAUUUUAUGAUAUGUUAAUUGUAUCUCCAUAAAACUGUUAUACAAUGUAGAAAUCUUAAAUAGUUUUAAUAUUUGAAUGCAACAUUUUAAGAACAGUGUAGUCAUUAUAUGUGUCUUGAUUUUUCAGCAAUGUCACCAAAUGGUUUUUAGGGAAAAUCUAUGUGGCUUUAAUAUAGUUCUACUAUAAGUGUUCUUUUUGUUAUUUUUUUUCCAAACAGAUUCCUUUAA
ensembl:lncRNA